UACGAAGGGUGCAAGCGUUACUCGGAAUUACUGGGCGUAAAGGGUGCGUAGGUGGUUUUUUAAGUCCGUUGUGAAAUCCCUGGGCUCAACCUGGGAAUGGCAGUGGAUACUGGAAAGCUAGAGUGCGGUAGAGGGUAGUGGAAUUCCCGGUGUAGCGGUGAAAUGCGUAGAGAUCGGGAGGAACACCAGUGGCGAAGGCGGCUACCUGGACCAGCACUGACGCUGAGGCACGAAAGCGUGGGGAGCAAACAGG
rnacentral:rRNA from 1 species